rnacentral:rRNA from 1 species
GACGAGCGCUGGCGGCGUGCUUAACACAUGCAAGUCGAACGGAAAGGCCCUGCUUUUGUGGGGUGCUCGAGUGGCGAACGGGUGAGUAACACGUGAGUAACCUGCCCUUGACUUUGGGAUAACUUCAGGAAACUGGGGCUAAUACCGGAUAGGAGCUCCUGCUGCAUGGUGGGGGUUGGAAAGUUUCGGCGGUUGGGGAUGGACUCGCGGCUUAUCAGCUUGUUGGUGGGGUAGUGGCUUACCAAGGCUUUGACGGGUAGCCGGCCUGAGAGGGUGACCGGCCACAUUGGGACUGAGAUACGGCCCAGACUCCUACGGGAGGCAGCAGUGGGGAAUAUUGCACAAUGGGCGGAAGCCUGAUGCAGCAACGCCGCGUGCGGGAUGACGGCCUUCGGGUUGUAAACCGCUUUCGCCUGCGACGAAGCGUGAGUGACGGUAAUGGGUAAAGAAGCACCGGCUAACUACGU